CCUCAACACACUGUACUCACAUCCUGACCCCCUCAACACACUGUACUCACCUCCUGACCCCCUCAACACACUGUACUCACAUCCUGACCCCCUCAAACACACUGUACUCACAUCCUGACCCCUCAAUACACACUGUACUCACAUCCUGACCCCUCAACACACUGUACUCACAUCCUGACCCCCUCAACACACUGUACUCACAUCCUGACCCCCUCAACACACUGUACUCACAUCCUGACCCCCUCAACACACUGUACUCACAUCCUGACCCCUCAACACACUGUACUCACAUCCUGACCCCCUCAAUACACACUGUACUCACAUCCUGACCCCCUCAAUACACACUGUACUCACAUCCUGACCCCUCAACACACUGUACUCACAUCCUGACCCCCUCAAUACACACUGUACUCACAUCCUGACCCCUCAACACACUGUACUCACAUCCUGACCCCCUCAAUACACACUGUACUCACAUCCUGACCCCUCAAUACACACUGUACUCACAUCCUGACCCCUCAAUACACACUGUACUCACAUCCUGACCCCCUCAAUACACACUGUACUCACAUCCUGACCCCUCAACACACUGUACUCACAUCCUGACCCCCUCAACACACGACAGUAGACCUCACAUCCUGACCCCUCAACACACACUGUACUCACAUCCUGACCCCCUCAACACACUGUACUCACAUCCUGACCCCUCAACACACUGUACUCACAUCCUGACCCCUCAACACACUGUACUCACAUCCUGACCCCUCAAUAUACUGUACUCACAUCCUGACCCCCUCAACACACUGUACUCACAUCCUGACCCCUCAACACACUUAGACCUCACAUCCUGACCCCUCAACACACCAGGAACAGUAGACCUCACAUCCUGACCCCUCAAUACACCAGGAACAGUAGACCUCACAUCCUGACCCCCUCAACACACCAGGAACAGUAGACCUCACAUCCUGACCCCCUCAACACACCAGGAACAGUAGACCUCACAUCCUG
rnacentral:lncRNA from 1 species